rnacentral:rRNA from 1 species
UUUCCGGUUGAUCCUGCCGGAGGCUACUGCUAUCAGGAUCCGACUAAAGCAUGCAAGGCAUCUUUCGGGAGCCGAACUGCUCAGUAACACGUGGUUAACCUGCCCUUAGGUAACGGAUAACUUCGGGAAACUGAGGGUAAACCGUUAUUGGGAAUUGUUGCUGGAAGGCGCUUUUCUCGAAAUCUAUAUGAGCCUAAGGAUGGGACUGCGGGAGAUUAGCUUGUUGUUGGGGUAAAUGCCCAACAAGGCCAUAAUCUCUACGGGUCAUGAGAGUGAUAGCCCGGAGACGUGCUCUGAGACAUGAGCACGGGCCCUACGGGGCGCAGCAGUUGCGAAACCUUCACAAUGUGUGAAAGCGUGAUGAGGGGAUCCUGAGUGAAUCCGUUUUUCGCGGAUUCUUUUGACAAGUCUCAAUAGCUUGUUGAAUAAGUGGUGGGUAAUACGGUUGCCAGCCGCCGCGGUAAUAACCGAGCCACGAGUGGUAGUCACGGUUAUUGGGCCUAAAGCGUCCGUAGCCGGUUUAUUAAGUCUUCGGUGAAAUCUUGUAGAUAACUACAAGGCUUGCUGGAGAUACUAAUAGACUUGGGGCCGGGAGAGGUCAAGGGUACGUUAUGGGUAAGGGCAAAAUCUGUUAAUCCAUAACGGACCACCUGUGGCGUUUUCGUUUUUAUGGAGCGAGACCACAAAAGGCGCUUGACUUGAACGGACCCGACGG